UGUAGCAAUACACCAGUGGCGGACGGGUGAGUAAUGAAUCGCUAAUGUACCCCGGAGCCAGGGAUAGCUGCCCGAAAGGGCAGGUAAUACCUGAUGAGACCACAGAGAGGCAUCUCUCGGUGCUCAAAGCAGCAAUGCACUCUGGGAGCAGGCGAUUUCGUAUCAGCUUGUUGGUGAGGUAACGGCUCACCAAGGCGACGACGCGUAGCUGGUCUGAGAGGACGGCCAGCCACAUUGGGACUGAGACACUGCCCAGACUCCUACGGGGGGCUGCAGUAACGAAUCUUCCGCAAUGCACGAAAGUGUGACGGAGCGACGCCGCGUGUAGGAUGAAGUCCUUCGGGAUGUAAACUACUGUCAGGGGAAAGAAAGUUCUGAUCUACCCCAGAGGAAGAGACGGCUAACUCUGUGCCAGCAGCCGCGGUAAUACAGAGGUCUCGAGCGUUAGGCGGAAUCACUGGGCUUAAAGCGUGUGUAGGUGGAUCGUUAAGUACCUUGUGAAAUCCCACGGCUUAACCGUGGAACUGCUUGGUAUACUGGCGGUCUUGAGCCAGCUAGGGGCUACCGGAACAAAUGGUGGAGCGGUGAAAUGCGUAGAUAUCAUUUGGAACGCCAAUGGUGAAAACAGGUAGCUGGGGCUGUGCUGACACUGAGACACGAAAGCCAGGGGAGCAAACGGGAUUAGAUACCCCGGUAGUCCUGGCCGUAAACGAUGUCGACUAGAUCGCAGUUCCUUCAACGGUAUUGCGGUCGAAGCAAAAGUGCUAAGUCGACCGCCUGGGAAGUACGGUCGCAAGGCUAAAACUCAAAGAAAUUGAC
rnacentral:rRNA from 1 species